AUUUUUAUUUUGUUCUGCU
rnacentral:miRNA from 1 species